UUUCACAUGCAUUACAACCAUAAACCAUUAUCCAUUAAUUUCCUAUAACACACAUAUUUACAUAUGUAUAUAUGUAUACGUAUAUACCCAUCAUCAUCAUCACACCAUCCCAUCAUCAUCAUCACCAGCUCAUGCGCACUCCCUACUCUCACAUGGUUGGGUCAUCACCGGGUUAUGCGCACUCCCUACUUGCACAUAACCGGGUCAUCCUCGGCUUAUGCUCACUCCCUACUCGCACAUAGCCGAGUCAAUAUAAUUACACAACAUUAUAUUCAAACAUAUAUAUAUAUCAACAUAAUACAGCCACAUAGAAAUCCAUAAUAACCACAUAUCAUAACAUAAAACAUUUCUCAAAAGCUUGUUCCCAAGGCAUUCAUUUUUUAGAAAAGUUGUAUAAAAUCAUUCAAACAUUUUGUACAAAACAAUCAUAUUCCCAAAACAAUUUUGAUAGGUAGUCCACUCAUCGAUUGAUUGUAGAGCCUUUAGAUGACUCCAAUUCCCCUAAUUGUCCAAAUGGGAUGAUGAGGCUUCCUUAGAACCCUAGGGCUCCUUUGUAGUCAAAUUUUCUUCCAAUUGCUUCCAAAUCAAUGGGGUAAUUCUCUCUUUCUCUCUCUAAAAUUCCCAACUAGUGAGAGAAAGUAUGAAAAUAAACUUUACCAAGGGUUUUGAAGUGAAAGAGUGACAGAAUACUAGGUUUCUAAUCAAAAGGGCUCAAAAGUAUAAAAACUAGAGCUAGAGAGAGAAAAUUUUGUAAGCUACAUAUCAAGCUUCCAUGGAGGUUUUGAAGAAACGUGAGAAAGAAGAAGAAGAAGAAGAAGACAAGUUGCUGGAAAAUGGGAGAAGAAGCUGCUAGAAGAAAGUAUUUAUAGGCCAAUCUUAUCCAUUCCACUUAAAAUUACCAAAUUACCCCUCCACCAAUUAACUGACUCUCCUCCAAUCUUUUAUGCAAUUUUUUUGUUCUUUUGACACUAGGACAAGGUCCAUAAUGGUCUAAACAUACUCGAGUUCAUGAAAACAUAAAAUUUUAACUUGAGGUGAAAAAUGACCAUUUUGCCCCUACUGUGAAAAUCGUCUAAAUUUUUGGUUUCCUUUCCAUUUUACCCAUAAUUUCACCAUCCAUUAUGCCUUAGGCCUACUUAUACCAUAAUAUUGUUUAAAAAUCUUACUUUUAUGGGCUUACUAAGGAAAUGAUGAAAUUAUCCCUAAUCAGGGAUAUUGCGUAUACUUCCCUUUACGAGUCUAUAAAGGUCAAGGUCUCAUAGGUUUGACGUGAAGUGAACUCUAAAGUUUGACCUCGGGAGUUACCCUAUGUGCCUCUCCAAUCGAGGUACAUAUAUAUGACCAGGUUCUGUGCCCCUCUAAUAGGUUGGUCCAUAGAACCAGCCCGCUGCAGCAAGCUAAACCCACCAUACAAUAAAAAUUCAAUAGCAUGAUAUGGCAAUUUUAUCAUUAUCCAGCUUAUCAAGGCAAACAACAGUUUAUACAUUUCAACACAAAUACCAAUUCAGCCAUUCAUGCCAAUAUUGUCAUAAGCCAAUCAAUUAGAACCAUAAAUUCAUAAUACAUCAAAUGGUCUCCAAUUGCUCUAUUUGCAAAGCCAUCAUUCAAUUUCAGAACAAUUUUAUGAAAUCAUUUUAUUUAAACACAUUUUUGUUUAUAAAACCUAAAAAUUUACCAUUUAAACUCAUUUUUCAUAAAAUCACAAAAUUGGAUAAAAACCACUCUAGAUAAUUAAGACGAUAGUAAGGUUACUCACUAUUUCGAGAGUCAAAUUCCAAGUACUCCGAUUCUUGAUUCCUCAGGUACUAUCUCUUUACUUUUGCUAGAAUGCUCACCACCUAGACAUAAUGCACAAUAAGCCAUUUACUACAUUGUGCUAAAUUGUUAUAAAACCAAUUCAAGCUUUAUACUAAUGUAUGAAAUGGGAUGCAAAUUGUUCGGAUUACCGUCUAAACACGAUAUUCUACACAAAUUCAUUUGGGUCCCUAAUUAAAUCGGCAUUGGCCUAAUUCGACCUAUCACUUGAUUAAUUGGCCAAAAUGUCCAAUUCAACUCCAAUUAACUCCAUUUUUCUCCCAAUACUCCAAAUCAUUAAACACAAUUUAAAUAACUUGAAAUGUGGCAAAAUCAUCCUCACAUUUUCUCUUGAAAAAUUCGGCCAUUUUGAGUGCAUCAACACCAUGAUUUUUCUGACUUGAUUAUCACACCACAAAUCACUUGAAAUAAAAUCAAAAUCAUCAUCAAUAAUCUACAUGGAGAAUUCGGCCAAUGAUGGGUUAUGGGAGAAAAUGAAUUUUUCUUGUUUGAUUUUCAUGCUACACAUCACUAACUAAAAACACUAGAAUAUCUUAAAAUCUAACCAAAACAACCAUUAAAUCUUCUCUCUCUAAAUAAUCCUUCAUGAUAUCUUGUGAUUCAACCAUGAAAAAUGCAAAAUAAUGCACGGGAAAGGUAGAUCACAAGUCAAAAUCAAGAAAUUUUACCUUUGAUUGCUUGAUUACUUGAAAUCCACCAAUUUUUCUCUUGAAUUUUCACCCUAGGGUUCUUGUUCUUUCUUUUCUUCCUUUGUUCUUCUUUGGC
rnacentral:lncRNA from 1 species